UACAGAGGGUGCUAGCGUUGUUCGGAAUCAUUGGGCGUAAAGGGCGUGUAGGCGGUUUGUUAAGUCAUGUGUGAAAUCCCUCGGCUCAACCGGGGAACGACGCAUGAAACUGGCAAGCUAGAGUACCAAAGAGGGGGGUGGAAUUCCCGGUGUAGCGGUGAAAUGCGUAGAUAUCAGGAGGAACACCGAUGGCGAAGGCAGCUCGCUGGGACAGUACUGACGCUGAGGCGCGAAAGCGUGGGGAGCGAACAGG
rnacentral:rRNA from 1 species